AUGAAGACCAUUUCUUCAUUCUCCCUGCUUGUCCUCUGCCUGGCUGCACUGCAACUGCACGCCAAUGCCUCCCACUCCCAGUCCCAGUCCCAGGAGGCUCAGCUCAAGAAAUUCAUCUCGUCUAGGAAGAACAGCGCCACCAGCAGCGACACGUUCCGAGUGCGUAACAUAGCUGACAGGGUUGCCGGCAGCCUGAGUGCGGAGAGCACCGUCUCUGACCAGAGCUCCAUGAAGGCCGCCGACAAGAUCACGGCGUUGCCCGGGCAGCCGGAGGGCGUCGACUUCGACCAGUACGGCGGGUACGUGACCGUCGAUGCGGAGAACGGCCGCGCGCUCUUCUACUACCUCGUGGAGUCGCCUUCCGGUGCCUCGGACAAGCCACUCGUCCUGUGGCUCAACGGAGGGCCAGGAUGCUCGUCGCUGGGAUACGGCGCAAUGCAGGAACUUGGCCCGUUCCGCGUAACCGAGGACAACAAAACGCUCAGCAGAAACGUGAACGCCUGGAACAACGUGGCUAACGUGAUCUUCCUCGAGUCGCCUGCCGGUGUGGGAUAUUCCUACUCGAACACGUCUUCGGACUAUGAUCUCAGCGGAGACGAGAGAACCGCCGAUGAUGCCUACGUGUUUCUGGUGAAAUGGCUUGAGAGGUUCCCGGAGUACAAGGACCGCACCUUCUACAUCUCCGGGGAGAGCUACGCCGGACACUACGUGCCGGAGCUCGCCGCCACCAUCCUGCUCCACAACACAUACAACAAUAGAACCGUCAUAAACCUUCAGGGCAUCUUGGUACGUGGAACUAACUAG
rnacentral:rRNA from 1 species